UCUUUUUCUCCCGCGCAGUGCUCAGAGCAAAUGCAGUGGAAAGAAGCUCUUGGUCUCUGCUCCUUUUGGUGCCUCAGCCACUGGGAGAUCUGUAAGCAAGUAACGACCCUUUGUUCCUUUGCACGGAGCAGAUCCUGUUUGUCUGACUAGAAAGCAGAGAUUCACAUGCGGAUUGGAACUCCGGCGCUCCCCUCCUCUUCCUCUGAUGAUCACUUCUUCCCCAGUUCUCCUCCUUUCAGGCAAAGAAGUGGCUGCUGUCCAGACUUUCAUGUGAAGAGGCUAAUCCUGGGGGGGGCUUCUUCAUCUAAACACAGCCGAUUUUUAAACCGUUCGUAGCGGGUGGGGGCUGAUUCCGCUUUGGAGACAGCUUCUCCAUUUAAAAAAAAUCAUGACUGUCUUCUCCUUCCAGGACCGCUGUUAAAGGCUGUUCUGCAUUUCUUACUUCUUGCAUCGAGUGGGUGUCUAGAUAGCCGGCCCAAACAGGCCUUGAGGUUUAUCCUAUCCACUGGCAUGCUGGUGGGAAAGGAUUCCCACCCACCCCCUGUAAUGGGAUACUUAGAAAGUCAUCACUGGGUAAUUGGCUUAAUGACUGCCCCUUGCAAGAAGACUUUAAUGGCUUUGGUAAACUAUCCUUAAUUUAUCCAGCUCAUGUGGCUUUCUCAAUAGCAGCUGCUGCCAGCUGUGGCCUGUCCAGGGCCUGGGGGACCACAGCAAGGUGAACCAAAACUAACCAUUUACAGCUGAUAUGGAUCUUUCUCUGCCCAUAAACAAAAUGAAUGUUCUCAGCUCCUUCCACAAAAGCACAGAUAGAUCUGGCUUUUAAGGACAACGAGUCAUCGCAGAGCUUUUUAAAACGUUCAUGUUUUGGAUCACAGCUCCUGGGACUCCACAGCCCCGCUGAUUGCAGGACGCUGGGAAUCGUAGUCCUCCUUCAAGGUGUGCCGGCUCAGCAGAAGAAUAUGGAGGGUCACGUUCCACCUUGCUAUCGGCCAGACUUGAAUAAAUCACCUUGGCAGCCCUAGCUAGGCAGAAAGAAAGCAGGGCUGUUUUUUUGGCAACUGUGAUAAUGAGGAAGGGGAGGCAGCCAGAAGAGAAAACAGCCUGAAAUGAUAUUGAUUUGCAAGAUCUGAGCAGAGCUGUUGACGAGAAGACAUUUUCGAGAUCAUAAACUCAUAUAGUUCCCACAUAUCGGAAGUGACUUGAUGGCACAUAACAUCUCUGGACAUCUUUCCUUAAUUACCAAACAAUUGUAUAGUGACAAGAAUGGUUGAGACUGUGACAGGAUAUAGGCACCCAAGCCCUGACAACACCGAGUAAGACCCUCCUCAGCUACAGAGCAAAAAGCAGUAAUUGAGUGAGUUUCUGAACAUUUGUUCUAUAUUCGUUUUUACAAUGUUUUCUAAAAUAUUUUUGCAACCAGACACAGAAUCCCUUUUUCUGCACGGAUCCCUGAUUAACAUUUCUUCACACCAUGGAUCAUUAAACAUAUGGUUUUGGCUGCCACCAGGAUGGCCAUGAACUCCGGCGGCCUUAAAAACUUGAGAGUCAUCGAAGACCAGUGAGCCAAAGCUGCUGUAUGGAACCUCCAUGUGCUGAAGCAGCCUAUCUUUGACUAUGUUGGGGAAGGAGCCGGGGGGGGGGGACAAACCAGAGAAGAUUUUACUCUGAUAUCAGUUUUAGGGAUCUUCCCAGGUUCUAAUCAGAGGCUGGAAGUCAUGAGUCUCCAAGUAAUAAAGCUAUCAUGAAUUACUUACUAAAGA